rnacentral:rRNA from 1 species
CCUACGGGAGGCAGCAGUGAGGAAUAUUGGUCCAUGGGCGCGAGCCUGAACCAGCCAAGUCGCGUGAGGGAGGACGGCCCUACGGGUUGUAAACCUCUUUUGCCGGGGAGCAACGGGCGUCACGUGUGGCGCCACUGAGAGUACCCGGAGAAAAAGCAUCGGCUAACUCCGUGCCAGUAGACGCGGUAAUAAGGAGGAUGCGCGCGUUAUCCGGAUUGUUUGGGUUGAAAGGGUGCGUAGGCGGAUCGUUAAGUCCGUGGUCAAAUGGAGGGGCUAAACCCCUUCCCGCCAUGGAAACUGGCGCUCUUGAGUGGAAGAGAGGUAUGCGGAAUGCGUGGUGUAGCGGUGAAAUGCAUAGAUAUCACGCAGAACCCCGAUUGCGAAGGCAGCAUGCCGGCUUCCGACUGACGCUGAAGCACGAAAGCGUGGGGAUCGAACAGGAUUAGAUACCCCUGUAGUC